GUAGUGUUGUGAGCCUGGUGAUAGUUUGACAAGGCUUUGGUGGAGGUUGUGUUAGUAUAUCCAUGGGUAGUGUUGUGAGCCUGGUGAUAGUUUGACAAGGCUUUGGUGGAGGUUGUGUUAGUAUGUCCAUGGGUAGUGUUGUGAGCCUGGUGAUAGUUUGACAAGGCUUUGGUGGAGGUUGUGUUAGUAUGUCCAUGGGUAGUGUUGUGAGCCUAGUGAUAGUUUGACAAGGCUUUGGUGGAGGUUGUGUUAGUAUGUCCAUGGGUAGUGUUGUGAGCCUAGUGAUAGUUUGACAAGGCUUUGGUGGAGGUUGUGUUAGUAUGUCCAUGGGUAGUGUUGUGAGCCUGGUGAUAGUUUGACAAGGCUUUGGUGGAGGUUGUGUUAGUAUGUCCAUGGGUAGUGUUGUGAGCCUAGUGAUAGUUUGACAAGGCUUUGGUGGAGGUUGUGUUAGUAUGUCCAUGGGUAGUGUUGUGAGCCUAGUGAUAGUUUGACAAGGCUUUGGUGGAGGUUGUGUUAGUAUGUCCAUGGGUAGUGUUGUGAGCCUAGUGAUAGUUUGACAAGGCUUUGGUGGAGGUUGUGUUAGUAUGUCCAUGGGUAGUGUUAUGAGCCUGGUGAUAGUUUGACAAGGCUUUGGUGGAGGUUGUGUUAGUAUGUCCAUGGGUAGUGUUGUGAGCCUGGUGAUAGUUUGACAAGGCUUUGGUGGAGGUUGUGUUAGUAUGUCCAUGGGUAGUGUUGUGAGCCUAGUGAUAGUUUGACAAGGCUUUGGUGGAGGUUGUGUUAGUAUGUCCAUGGGUAGUGUUGUGAGCCUGGUGAUAGUUUGACAAGGCUUUGGUGGAGGUUGUGUUAGUAUGUCCAUGGGUAGUGUUGUGAGCCUGGUGAUAGUUUGACAAGGCUUUGGUGGAGGUUGUGUUAGUAUGUCCAUGGGUAGUGUUGUGAGCCUGGUGAUAGUUUGACAAGGCUUUGGUGGAGGUUGUGUUAGUAUGUCCAUGGGUAGUGUUGUGAGCCUGGUGAUAGUUUGACAAGGCUUUGGUGGAGGUUGUGUUAGUAUGUCCAUGGGUAGUGUUGUGAGCCUAGUGAUAGUUUGACAAGGCUUUGGUGGAGGUUGUGUUAGUAUGUCCAUGGGUAGUGUUAUGAGCCUGGUGAUAGUUUGACAAGGCUUUGGUGGAGGUUGUGUUAGUAUGUCCAUGGGUAGUGUUGUGAGCCUGGUGAUAGUUUGACAAGGCUUUGGUGGAGGUUGUGUUAGUAUGUCCAUGGGUAGUGUUGUGAGCCUAGUGAUAGUUUGACAAGGCUUUGGUGGAGGUUGUGUUAGUAUGUCCAUGGGUAGUGUUGUGAGCCUGGUGAUAGUUUGACAAGGCUUUGGUGGGGGUUGUGUUAGUAUGUCCAUGGGUAGUGUUGUGAGCCUGGUGAUAGUUUGACAAGGCUUUGGUGGAGGUUGUGUUAGUAUGUCCAUGGGUAGUGUUGUGAGCCUGGUGAUAGUUUGACAAGGCUUUGGUGGAGGUUGUGUUAGUAUGUCCAUGGGUAGUGUUGUGAGCCUGGUGAUAGUUUGACAAGGCUUUGGUGGAGGUUGUGUUAGUAUGUCCAUGGGUAGUGUUGUGAGCCUGGUGAUAGUUUGACAAGGCUUUGGUGGAGGUUGUGUUAGUAUGUCCAUGGGUAGUGUUGUGAGCCUGGUGAUAGUUUGACAAGGCUUUGGUGGAGGUUGUGUUAGUAUGUCCAUGGGUAGUGUUGUGAGCCUGGUGAUAGUUUGACAAGGCUUUGGUGGAGGUUGUGUUAGUAUGUCCAUGGGUAGUGUUGUGAGCCUGGUGAUAGUUUGACAAGGCUUUGGUGGAGGUUGUGUUAGUAUGUCCAUGGGUAGUGUUGUGAGCCUGGUGAUAGUUUGACAAGGCUUUGGUGGAGGUUGUGUUAGUAUGUCCAUGGGUAGUGUUGUGAGCCUGGUGAUAGUUUGACAAGGCUUUGGUGGAGGUUGUGUUAGUAUGUCCAUGGGUAGUGUUGUGAGCCUGGUGAUAGUUUGACAAGGCUUUGGUGGAGGUUGUGUUAGUAUGUCCAUGGGUAGUGUUAUGAGCCUGGUGAUAGUUUGACAAGGCUUUGGUGGAGGUUGUGUUAGUAUGUCCAUGGGUAGUGUUAUGAGCCUAGUGAUAGUUUGACAAGGCUUUGGUGGAGGUUGUGUUAGUAUGUCCAUGGGUAGUGUUGUGAGCCUAGUGAUAGUUUGACAAGGCUUUGGUGGAGGUUGUGUUAGUAUGUCCAUGGGUAGUGUUAUGAGCCUGGUGAUAGUUUGACAAGGCUUUGGUGGAGGUUGUGUUAGUAUGUCCAUGGGUAGUGUUGUGAGCCUGGUGAUAGUUUGACAAGGCUUUGGUGGAGGUUGUGUUAGUAUGUCCAUGGGUAGUGUUGUGAGCCUGGUGAUAGUUUGACAAGGCUUUGGUGGAGGUUGUGUUAGUAUGUCCAUGGGUAGUGUUGUGAGCCUAGUGAUAGUUUGACAAGGCUUUGGUGGAGGUUGUGUUAGUAUGUCCAUGGGUAGUGUUGUGAGCCUAGUGAUAGUUUGACAAGGCUUUGGUGGAGGUUGUGUUAGUAUGUCCAUGGGUAGUGUUGUGAGCCUAGUGAUAGUUUGACAAGGCUUUGGUGGAGGUUGUGUUAGUAUGUCCAUGGGUAGUGUUGUGAGCCUAGUGAUAGUUUGACAAGGCUUUGGUGGAGGUUGUGUUAGUAUGUCCAUGGGUAGUGUUAUGAGCCUGGUGAAAGUUUGACAAGGCUUUGGUGGAGGUUGUGUUAGUAUGUCCAUGGGUAGUGUUAUGAGCCUGGUGAUAGUUUGACAAGGCUUUGGUGGAGGUUGUGUUAGUAUGUCCAUGGGUAGUGUUGUGAGCCUGGUGAAAGUUUGACAAGG